rnacentral:rRNA from 1 species
UGGGGAAUUUUGCACAAUGGGGGAAACCCUGAUGCAGCGACGCCGCGUGAUUUAGAAGGCCUUCGGGUUGUAAAAAUCUUUUCUAUGGGAAGAAAAUGACAGUACCAUAGGAAUAAGGACCGGCUAAUUACGUGCCAGCAGCCGCGGUAAUACGUAAGGUCCGAGCGUUGUCCGGAAUCAUUGGGCGUAAAGGGUACGUAGGCGGGUAAGCAAGUUAGAAGUGAAAUCCUAUAGCUCAAAUAUAGUAAGCUUUUAAAACUGAUCAUCUUGUGGUAUGGAAGGGAAGGGGGAAGUGCUAGUGUAGCGGUGAAAUGCGCAGAUAUUAGGAGGAGUACCGGUGGCGGAGGCGACUUUCUGGCCAUAACCUGACGCUGAGGUACGAAAGCGUGGGUAGCAAACAGG